rnacentral:tRNA from 1 species
GCUGUCUUAGCUCAGCAGGCAGAGCACUUCCUUGGUAAGGAAGAGGUCGGCGGUUCGAACCCGCUAGACAGCU